rnacentral:lncRNA from 1 species
CUCGCCAACCCGGCAACGAAUGGAGGACUUCUUGCAAGACGCGGCAGGAACAACCGAAGGAGGCGAGUAUGCCCAGAAACCAUCAGGCCAGCAUGAUAUAGAUCAGGAAAUGCUGGAGUCAGGGAAUGUAUCUCCCCUCAACGGAUACAAGACCCACAUGACCCCUUCUGAUGUGGAUGGAAGCCCUUCCCUUUCGACAAACAGUUCCAAGCGCCCAAAGCAUAGGUCGCGUUCCUCAUCUUCUUCCUCGUUUGCUAACCAGUUGCCCGAGAAACAAAGCCGCGGCUUUAGUCGGUUCUUCGCCAAGGGCAAAGAGUGAACAUUAGCUGGAUUGCAAGAUUCUGUGAUGUUGGCUUGUUGAGUCUUCGGCGAAUGGAUCGAUGACAGAUGAAUGCGGGUCAUGGGUUUCUAUAGAACUACUCGGCGAAUCUGCUUGUGUAUUAUUUUGAGGCGACGCCUCCGGUGGUUCAGUUGCUGGGGUAAUACUUGCCUUGCAGUCGAGCGGUUAUGACCAGGUUGUGUGUGUGUGAGAAUGUGUGUUAGCUGUCGUUAUCUUCUGCUAGAGUUUUUUCUGGGUUGCUGUUUGUCUGAAACCUCACUAAAACCUCACUGUACAUGUGCUUACCUGCAUGAAGAAGAGAGCUGCUGUUUGUUUGUGUUCCAUUCUUUUGUGAAGUAGUCUGUGUAUGUCGUUGGUGCCAAAACUGGCUUCAUGUACAGCUAAGUUAACCUGCAUCAGUUUGAAGGUGAUCAUUGUGUUUAUAUCUGUUUAUCGGUGUCAAAAUCUGAAGAAAGAUGUGUGUUGUCCAUCUUGUGUUUUCUAUGUUACU